GAUGGGCCCCAGCUUGAAUGGAAAGUCCAGAUUCCAGCAACACAGCUUAAGAGAUGAAGGUUGCUUGAGCAGGAAAUCCACCCAUGGCCCAAAGAGGAAAGAUCCGCUUUAAAUGCCUGGGCAUAUACUUCCAAGAACCAGAUGUGGCCUGUUCCUUACACCUCCCUGGGCUUAGAUGACAGCUUGAACUCUGCGGCUGAUGGAAUUAUGGGAAUGACCUGGAAUCUAACACUCUACAAUUCAGACACACCACUGUCCACUUGUCCCUCCCUUCCUGCCACUGGCCCUGCCAGCGUACCUUGUGUACUUCGCAAAGGUCACUGGCUCCUGUUUUAUGUAAUGACUGACAGACGAUCUCGCCCAGCUCAGCAAUGUGAACAGACACCUUGCAUGGUGCCGGUGGUGGGUGCGGUUGUUUCUGGAUGUCAUGGAAGAGGCUGGGGCAUACCAGGGCUUUCCCCAAUUGUGCCUAAAAUAAAUUGGCUCUUGGGAGGUU
rnacentral:lncRNA from 1 species